rnacentral:tRNA from 1 species
CGGGGUGUAGCGCAGCUCGGUUAGCGCGUUUGGCUGGGGGUCAAAAGGUCCUGAGUUCAAAUCUCAGCACCCCGA